GGCAAAUAUGACACCAUGACAUGACAAAGAGAUACAACCGCACAUUUUUUAGGACAGUGUGUGAAGUUACAUGAAACCGCCAUGGCGCGCGCUGCUGUAGCCAGCCGGCGUUCGCGACGUAUCUAUGCUGGUGGUGCUAGCAUCACAUGCGCUUCUACAACUUUUAAGAGGACGAAGAAGAAGCCCGCGGUGCAUUUUGGGUCUGUAGCAUGUCCGUAGGCUGCACCAUAGACAUAAGCUGCGUCCGAAUUGCCAAGUAGUAGUCGAAGUAGUAGUCGAAGUAGUAUCUAGCAUGUCCGAAUUGGCCACCGGAGCGAGUAGCAUGCUACUUCAGAUACUACUUCAGAUGCUAGACACGCCCACAUUGUAGGUUGGUCUCGGUGCAUCCUACGGGCAUGCUACUGACCCAAAAUGCACCGCGGGCUUCUUCUUCGUCCUCUUAAAAGUUGUAGAAGCGCAUGUGAUGCUAGCGCCACCAGCUGCUCUGCCUAUUUAAAAGUGUCGCGAACGCCGGCUGGCCACAGCAGCGCGCACCAUGUCGGAGCAGCAGCAGCAGGCGGGACAGUACAGAUGUAAGUUUCAUGUAACUUCACACACUGUCCUAAAAAAUGUGCGGUUGUAUCUCUUUGUCAUGUCAUGGUGUCAUAUUUGCCCAAGUAAUCAUUUUAUGAGCAAGUGGCGACAUCAUGGAGGUAAAGCUCACUUAUUCCAUCAUUAAACUGCACAGCUGCAGUACUACAGCCAGGCCCGCAGAUGAGGGGCUUCAGUUACCACUGUCUGCACGAGCGCAGUACCUACUCUCUGCCUGCGGGGGUCGUCUUUCCCCACCGCUCGUCUAGUGUGUCCGAAUUGGGCCAACGUUUUUAGUAUGUAGGAGUAGGAUCUAGCAGUAGCACGUAGCAGUAGCAUGUAGUAUCCGAGCGGGCAGUUCGGACGCAGCAAUAAGCUGCGUCCGAAUUGCCAAGUAGUAGUCGAAGUAGAAGUCGAAGUAGUAUCUAGCAUGUCCGAAUUGGCCACCGGAGCGAGUAGCAUGCUACUUCAGAUACUACUUCAGAUACUAGACACGCCCACAUUGUAGGUUGGUCUCGGUGCAUCCUACGGGCAUGCUACUGACCCAAAAUGCACCACGGGCUUCUUCUUCGUCCUCUUAAAAGUUGUAGAAGCGCAUGUGAUGCUAGCGCCACCAGCUGCUCUGCCUAUUUAAAUGUAUCGCGAACGCCGGCUGGCCACAACAGCGCGCACCAUGUCGCGGGACCGCA